rnacentral:lncRNA from 1 species
AUUGAUAUCCAUAUUAUUUGAUAUUUUAUCUAGAUCCAAAUUUAGUUUUACUUUUCCCCCUAAUCAUUAAAGUAUCAUCCGCCUUAGCUUUACGCAGUAACCCUAAAAAAAUGGUAGAUCGAUUCAUUAAGUCCCUGUGGGAUCGAUAUCUUUUAAAACUACGCGAUUAGACUGUGCGCUUGCAGUUAGUACCCCGAUAGACUCAUAAAGUCGCGAUCAGGUGGAAGAGCUUUG